UACGGAGGGGGCGAGCGUUAUUCGGAAUCAUUGGGCGUAAAGGGCGCGUAGGCGGCCCCGUAAGUCUUGGGUGAAAGCCCUCGGCUCAACCGAGGAAUUGCCUUGGAUACUGCGGGGCUCGAGGCUGGAAGAGGGCAGUGGAAUUCCCGGUGUAGCGGUGAAAUGCGCAGAUAUCGGGAGGAACACCAAUGGCGAAGGCAGCUCGCUGGGACGGUACUGACGCUGAGACGCGAAAGCGUGGGGAGCAAACAGG
rnacentral:rRNA from 1 species